rnacentral:lncRNA from 1 species
UUUUAUUUUGUUUAAUGAUUGAGCAAUGUUAUUCUUUUUCACCUUUCAAACUACAAAACUAUAUAAUCUACAACGUUAUGGUAUUUCUAUACCAUUUGCGCUAAAUGGAAUAGCUUAUUUUUUCUAUUCACAUAUUCUUUAUACGUAUUAUAACUUUAUAUUGUAUUUUAUUUAUGGGGUUUAGGGUUAAUGAUUAGAGUUUAUGGUUUAAUAUAAGUUUUGGGUUUAGUGAUUGGGGUUUAGGGUUUAAUAUUUAGGGGUUGGACGAUGGGUUUAAUUAGUAUUUAAGGGUUGGGGAGGGGGUGUGGGUUUAGUGUUUUGGGGAUGUUAGGGGAGUGUUGGUGUGAAGUCUAUAAAUGGAAUAAUAUUUUAUAUUUGGGUAUUUUUUAAUCUACAACGUUCUCGUAUUUCUAUGUCAUUUGCGUUAAAUGGAAUAGCUCUUUUUUCUAUUCACAUAUUUUUUAUAUGUAUUAUAACUUUAUAUUAUAUUUUAUAUUUGGAUUUAGGAUUAAUGAUUAGAGUUUAGGGUUUAGAAUAGGGCUUGGGUUUAGUGAUUCGGGUUUAGGGUUUAGUAUUUAAGGGUUGGGGAGGGGGAGUUGGGUUUAGUGUUUUGGGGAUGUUAGGGGAGUGUUGGUGGGAUCUGUAAAUGGAAUAGUAGCUAGAACCAUACUUGAUUUUAUUUUGGAAAACUAUUAUAUUUUAUACUGUAGUAUUUAUAAAGAAUUUAUAACAUUAUUUUGUACCCGUAACAUAACGUCAUCAAUGGUGUGUUAAUCGUUGUUUCUCUUCUUUAGUAAACCGUGAUUAUAUCUCAACCUUCUUGCAUGCAUCUUCCACCAUAAAUACCACAAGACCAUAUAACCAAUAAUCCAAUACACAUACUCAUCAUCAACGAUAUAAUCAUCCUCGUUCACAUGUUCUUUAUGUCGACGUUAUCUAUUUUUUUCUGUUACCGAUUACUUGGAAAGAGGAAGGACAUAACCAGCAUAAUUGUACACUAAAUGUUAUUGAGUUAAUAACGUCAAAAUCAGUGACAUAUUCUUCAUUUCCUUUCCAAAAUUAGUUAGAUGGCAAAUUAACCCAUAUAUAAACCACUUCUACGAUACCAGUUAAAAAGGUACAAUGAAAGGGAUUUCCAUUUUUCUUUUUUUGUAAUCGAAAGGGAUUUCCAUAAACAGGCAAAUAUCAUAUAAAAACACACUCACACAAAUAUCAUAUGUUGCUAAUAUCAAAUAUUAUUCUCAGCUAAAUUCUAUCUGUCUUAUCAUUUUGUCGAACGUAGUGAUCAAUUUUGCUUUUAGAAAAGCAGUAUUCAGUUUUUGUUUAGUUCGGGUGGAAUCACCUGCUAACUACACCAUAUACUGUGAAAUAAACAGUAUACCUUAUGUCAUUUUAAUGUUUUAUGUUCAAUUAACUAAAAAUAAAAAUAUAAUCCAUCAGAUUUAAGAGGCCUUGCAAUGUCUUUGCCCAACACUAAAAGUAAAACUAGUACAAACCAAAGUAACUAGAAUCUUUGGUAAUUGUGCUGCUCUUUU